rnacentral:lncRNA from 1 species
CGGGCUGCUCGGUGGCUAUGUGGUCAUCAACAACCCCCCAGACACCAGCAAGGCUCCCCCGAACGAAGGUGAUGGGCUGCCCCGGAAUCCUCUCAAGACCUACGACCCUCAGAACAUCGAUCCUCUCACAACCUACACACGAGGUGGAGUGGUGGACCGACCCAGUGGACAGGUACGACCCCUCUUUUCAUUGCAUCACCAUGCCCCUCUCCGCUCCAGUUGCAUUUGUGCUGUUAACUUCCAUUACCCUGUACCUGUGGACGCUGUCUAAUUACUUCAAUGUUUCUGUGCAGAAGGGAAAAGAGC